rnacentral:rRNA from 1 species
AGCAGCCGCGGUAAUUCCAGCUCCAAUAGCGUAUAUUAAAGUUGUUGCAGUUAAAAAGCUCGUAGUUGAAUUUCGAGACCGGUCUACUGGUCGUGCUUUUGUACGUACUGGUUUUAUUGGUUUCUCCUUUCUGACGAACUAUAAUGCCAUUAAUUUGGUGUUAUGGGGAAUCAGGACUGUUACUUUGAAAAAUUAGAGUGUUUAAAGCAGGCUCACGCUUGAAUACAUUAGCAUGGAAUAACGGAAUAGGACGUUUGAUUCUAUUUUGUUGGUUUCUAGGAUCGACGUAAUGAUUAAUAGGGAUAGUUGGGGGCAUUAGUAUUCAAUUGUCAGAGGUGAAAUUCUUGAAUUUAUUGAAGACUAACUACUGCGAAAGCAUUUGCCAAGGAUGUUUUCAUUAAUCAAGAACGAAAGUUAGGGGAUCGAAGACGAUCAGAUACCGUCGUAGUC